rnacentral:rRNA from 1 species
AUUGAACGCUGGCGGCAUGCUUUACACAUGCAAGUCGAACGGCAGCACGGGUGCUUGCACCUGGUGGCGAGUGGCGGACGGGUGAGUAAUACACCGGAACGUAUCCAGAAGAGGGGGAUAACGCAUCGAAAGAUGUGCUAAUACCGCAUAUUCUCUGAGGAGGAAAGCAGGGGAUCGCAAGACCUUGCGCUUUUGGAGCGGCUGAUGUCUGAUUAGCUAGUUGGUGGGGUAAAGGCCUACCAAGGCGACGAUCAGUAGUUGGUCUGAGAGGACGACCAGCCACACUGGGACUGAGACACGGCCCAGACUCCUACGGGAGGCAGCAGUGGGGAAUUUUGGACAAUGGGCGCAAGCCUGAUCCAGCAAUGCCGCGUGAGUGAAGAAGGCCUCGGUUGUAAGACGUCUUCUAGUUCGAGAAGAAAAGGAACGUAGU